GCUGCGCUCAGGUCAAGCAGCAGCACCCAGAGGUCAUACAGGAAGGAUUAUUUCCUUGUAUCUUGCAGUGUCAUAGAAAUCAAGCAGUACUCCAUGUCCAGUAAUCCACUACGCACAAGUUGCUAAUCGGCAUUGGGAUGGGUCCUGAGAUCUUAAUCAGAGAUGAGACCAGAAGUGAAUGAAAGAAGCAAAUGCUUUGGUUUAGAACUCUUUUCCUGCCUAAGACUU